UGUAACACAUUACAAAACAGACGUAGAAGAAGAAGCAUCCUUCCUCAGAAGUCGAGGUAUGCUAUGGCACACAUCUUGGAGAUGAUUUAAGAUCAUUGGAUUAUUGUCUGAAGUGGAAAAACGCUAUGUAUUCCACACGGCACCAGACCUCUAGUAUAGCCCAAGCAAGUCAGACUUUGGAAGAAGAUGUUAUUCAGCGCAGAUUUGGGAACAAGAGACUGAGAAGGAGGCUGAAGGAACCACAGCGUGGCAACAGUGUUGUUUCUACAGAUGUGAAGGCCAACUUUGACUUAAUCAGUUUCACUGAUGGCAGACAUGAAAAAGAUGCUGUUUCAGAGAAGGACAAAGAACACUUUGGAGAAGUAGAUGUUGAAGCAUCCAAAGAACAGUGCAACUCUCCCAGCAGCACAUCUUCUGGGCCCACAUUCACAUUGUUUCGAACUACCAUGAACCCAAAUUUUUUAUGUGGUCUGUGCUCAAGCUGCUGGAAGCUCUACCAAAAGGCAAAGAGGAUGAAGACACCAAUCAAAGACAAGCUGUUAGACAAUGAUCCCACCUCCUGGACAUGUGACCAGUGGGUCCUGAUUAAAAAAUGGCAACCCAGAAGGCAUUGUCACAAGAGAAGGAAGUCGUUAGUGCAGGUGGUUGAGAAACAACUUACUAUCAAGAAAGGUGGGAGGCGAUAUGAGAGUUGUUUGCGGGAACAAGAACCUCCAACCUGCUCAAGACCUCACAUUUUCUUACAAAGGAACCUUUCACAAUGUGCCAAAGUUCCAGUGAGAAGAGGCAGAAAGAAAGGCAGAAGAAAAAGAUCAAGAGAUGAUGUCCAGGAUGUUAGAAAAGUGAAGCAGCAAAGAAUCCACAGCAGCCGUUUCCAACAAAGCAUCAGCACUGGUUUUACUGACAGCAGAAUUCCUGCUCGCAGCAGAAGUUUUAAUGGUUACGACAAACAAAAAGAUGAGAGAAAUAACGCUGAAGACCUGGUAUUUGAAUUGAUUCCUUCCACAGUCACCUUGGAAACCACCAAGACAGAAGAGGCCCCCACCAAGAAGCAGGCGCAAAAGAAGACCGGGUCGUUCAGAGACUUGCUUGUACAAUUGCGUGGCAACAGCAGUGUGAUUGUGCAAGAAACAUGUUCGUGAGGUAUGCAUGCAUGUGGCUUUUCUGUUUGGUUUGUUUGAAAUCUAGCAUUGAAGUUUGUCUGUUCUGCAUAUUCCAGUGCUAAAACUAUCAGCACCAUAUGAAACUUGGCAGUUUUUACCAGGUGCUGUUCAUGAGUUUGUUUUUGUAUAUACCAAAUGGUUUUCAGUGUGUUAUUUCCAGCAGCUUUCACUAAAAUUUUCUUCUUCCACUUAAAACAACUGUUUUCAGAAAAAGUGGUCCAGUGAAUUUUUAACAUUUGUAACAGGCCACCCUCAGCAGUGGUAGUAUUUGUAGCUGAUUCCCUAAUUUAAAAAUACUUUGAGUACGCUUCAAAAGUCCUGUUGCAGUUCUGUGAUUCAAAAAAAGCACUGUGAAUAAAGUUAUUCCGUUUGCACUUUAUCCUGGAAUUUUUU